GACGAACGCUGGCGGCGUGCUUAACACAUGCAAGUCGAACGGAAAGGCCCUGCUUUUGUGGGGUGCUCGAGUGGCGAACGGGUGAGUAACACGUGAGUAACCUGCCCUUGACUUUGGGAUAACUUCAGGCAACUGGGGCUAAUACCGGAUAGGAGCUCCUGCUGCAUGGUGGGGGUUGGAAAGUUUCGGCGGUUGGUGAUGUACUCGCGGCUUAUCAGCUUGUUGGUGGGGUAGUGGCUUACCAAGGCUUUGACGGGUAGCCGGCCUGAGAGGGUGACCGGACACAUUGGGACUGAGAUAAGGCCCAGACUCCUACGGGAGGCAGCAGUGGGGAAUAUUGCACAAUGGGCGGAAGCAUGAUGCAGCAACGCCGCGUGCGGGAUGACGGCCUUCGGGUUGUAAACCGCUUUCGCCUGUGACGAAGCGUGAGUGACGGUAAUGGGUAAAGAAGCACCGGCUAACUACGUG
rnacentral:rRNA from 1 species